CUGCCUGGGCUUAGAAUCAAAUACAAACUCUUACCCAUACCUUCUUGCAGUAGCCAGAGCGGCAAGCUCUACAUACAUCAGAAGCUCAAAGAAUGAUUUAUCAACACACACAGUAUAUGUUCAACAGGGAUACUCUACUUCCGGGAAGGACCAACCAUUCCAAGACCUAAAUAUAAACCUCUUUUCAUUGAUUGCUGAUCACACCAAACAAAUCCAAAUGAUAAAGUUCAAGACCGAUUACAGUGGCAAUGACAGUUCAGAUUCAGUGUGUGUUUGGAACUCCUCAAAGUGUAACAGACUGGCCACUGGGGCCCGGAUCAACGGUGAGGGUCACACCUGCCAAUGCCAGGGGACAUCAUACACACA